AUGUUACUCCUCUUCUUCUUUUUCAUUAUCAUUGAUGAUAAUGCAGAGGCCGCUGAGAGCAUUACACCAACCCGAACCAGCGUAUUUUCAGCUGAAGGCAGCAACAUCACACUGUCCUGUACAUAUCCAGAUUCAGCACGAGAUCUCCACUGGUAUAAACAAAAACCUGGAUCAAAACCAGAGUUUCUGCUGAUGAUUAAUAAAGUUAGUAGUCAUGUCACUCCAGCUGAACCACCUCACCCAAGAAUCUUCAUCAAACUUGACAAAGAGAAAAAGAUUGUGGAUCUAGACAUCAUCACUGCUGCAGUAUCUGAUUCUGCAAUGUACUACUGUGCCAUGGAGCCCACAGUGACAGGAAAUUCAACUAUACUGUACUAA